rnacentral:lncRNA from 1 species
ACCUUUUUCAUUUCCUCCUCUAGCUCCCAAGUUGUCUCCUCUCCAAAAUGAUGUCUCCAAAUUACUUGAACCAGUGGGAUGACCCGAUUCCUUAGGACUUUUUCUUUCUUAUCAAUAAUCUGAAUAGGCUCUUCCACAUAGGAUAAAUCUUUAUCGAACUCCACCAGCUCAUACUUAAUGAUGUGAGAAGGGUCAUACAUAUACUUUCUAAUCAUCGAGACAUGAAAUAUAUCAUGGACAUGGCUCAAUGCUGGUGGCAAGGCAAUCCUGUAAGCGACAGAACCAACCCUCUCAAGAACCUCAAAAGGUCCAAUGAAUCUUGGGCUUAAUUUUCCUUUCUUCCCAAACCUUAUAAUGCCUUUGGAAGGGGAGACUUUUAAUAAUACAAAAUCUCCGAUUUCAAACUCAAUAUCUCGUCUUCUAUUGUCAGCAUAACUCUUUUGACGACUCUGAGCAGUUUUUAACCUUUUCCUUAUUACUUGAAUUUUCUCGGUAGUUUCUUGUACCUUGUCCGGUGCCAACAGCUUUCUGUCACCAACUUCCUCCCAACAUAUAGGUGUUAUGCACUUUCGCUCAUAUAAAGCUUCAUAAGGAGCCAUCUGAAUACUUGAAUGAUAACUAUUGUUAUAAGUGAACUCAACAAGUGAAAUAUCCUUAUCCCAUUCACCUUUCCAAUCCAUAACAUAGGCUCUAAGCAGAUCCUCAAGUGUUUGAAUUGUUCUUUCUGACUGACCAUCAGUCUGAGGAUGAUAUGCAGUACUAAACUUGACUUUAGUGCCCAUCGACUCCUGCAAUUUUCUCCAGAAUCUAGAGAGAAAUCUGGAGUCUCUAUCAGAGAUGAUCUCCUUUGGAAUACCAUGAAGUCUUACUAUUUCAUUAACAUAUAAAUCUGCAAGUCUAUCAAGCGAAUAAGUCAUAUUAAUCGGUAGGAAAUGCGCAGAUUUUGUUAACCUAUCAAUGAUAACCCAAAUAGCAUCAUGCUUCCUCGAGGUUCUGGGUAGUCCUGAAACAAAAUCCAUAGUAAUACAUUCCCAUUUCCAUUCAGGAAUAACUAAAGGUUGCAACAACCCUCCAGGUCUUUGGUGUUCUACUUUGAUUUGCUGACAAGUCAAACAUUUAGAAACAUACAUUGCAAUUUCUUUCUUCAUGCCUUCCCACCAAUAAUGACUUUGAAUAUCUCUAUACAUCUUAGUGCUCCCAGGGUGUAGGGUGUACUUUGAAGUAUGACUUUCAUUUAGGAUUUGAUUCUUGAUAUCCGGUUCAUUUGGUACACAUACUCUCUCCCCAAAUCUCAAUAGGCCAUCCUUUGAAAUUUGAAAUUGUGGCUUCAAUCCCUUUUCUACUUCAUUCCUCAAGUAGAUUAAAUAUGGAUCUCGUAAUUGUCCUUCCUUAAUUUGUUGAAUAAGAUCAGAUUGCACUUGAAUGGAGGCCAUCAAUAUCAUCGAGUCUUGCUCUUUCCUCAAAGCUUUCA